AAAGUCAAGACACCCGCUACGCCGGUUAUACGUGCACUUGGACUGGUUACUCGAUUGACACCUGUCAAAUUUCCACCUUAGCCAUCAUGCUAGCAAGUUCUCCAGCUGCGUCUGCAAUAAAGGCAUUCAGCCAAAGAGGAGCCUCCCCUCAAGCAUACGCUGCUAACAGAUGGCAUGACCCACUCACAACGACUUCAUUCGCUAGGUCAUAAUGUAAUUCGAGGGUGCCAGCAGCAGUUGUUGGAGUGCGCUCAUCAUACUGAAGCAUCAGUCCGCUCUUGCGUAUGUCUCACCAUCACAGCCGGUACGCUGCACACCAAUGCAUCAUGUCUCCAACCAAACCAACUAGUCUGUAGCGAUUGCAAGUCUUUCACAAGUGACAGAACAAGUGACAGGGGCUCUUGUUUUUUUUUUUUUUGUUGUUGGUUGUUAAAAACAAAAGUCAUGUACCUGUAGUCAUAUUUAU